rnacentral:snRNA from 1 species
UGUAAGCAAGUUUUGUUG